GAUGAACGCUUGCGGCGUGCCUAAUACAUGCAAGUCGAGCGAACGGACGAGAAGCUUUCUUCUCUGAUUUUAGCGGCGGACGGGUGAGUAACACGUGGAUAACCUACCUAUAAGACUUGGAUAACUUCGGGAAACCGGAGCUAAUACCGGAUAAUAUUUUUAACCUCAUGGUUCAAAAGUGAAAGACGGUCUUUCUGUCACUUAUAGAUUGAUCCGCGCUGCAUUAGCUAGUUGGUAAGGUAACGGCUUACCAAGGCAACGAUGCAUAGCCGACCUGAGAGGGUGAUCGGCCACACUGGAACUGAGACACGGUCCAGACUCCUACGGGAGGCAGCAGUAGGGAAUCUUCCGCAAUGGGCGAAAGCCUGACGGAGCAACGCCGCGUGAGUGAUGAAGGUCUUCGGAUCGUAAAACUCUGUUAUUAGGGAAGAACAUAUGUGUAAGUAACUGUGCACAUCUUGACGGUACCUAAUCAGAAAGCCACGGCUAACUACGUG
rnacentral:rRNA from 1 species